rnacentral:lncRNA from 1 species
AUUCUACUUUUUUUUUCCAGAUAACUUUAUCAGUUUUAUAUUAUUAUAAUUAGAUACAAAUCAUCAAGUGUCUAUCACUCAUAUAGUAUGGUUGAAAUCAAGAACAAUUCAAUUUAUUAAACCUAUAAACACAAAGUAUGCAAAACAGAUAAAAUCACAAAUUAUCAAUUUAAUUUUUUUUGUCUAAAAAUAUAUCUUAAACCGUUUAAAAAAAUACUAAAUUUCUUACCGAAAUCUCGAUAAUUUCUUCUACACCAUUCUUCUUUUCUUCCUCUUAUUAUCUCUCUAGAUUACUCUCUCUCUCUAUAAUUCUUAAAAAGUGGAAUAAUGGAAGUGUGGAGAAAAUAAGAAGGAAGAACCCCUAUUUAUAGAAAAUAGGGACCAUUGGAUUUGUGCCAAGUGGCAAAAUCUAGUAAAGAGAGAAAAAAAUGUUCAGC